rnacentral:lncRNA from 1 species
UUAUAUAGAUAGAGGGUGGUGGAGGUUUAUGGUGAAGAGAAGUAAAUGGUAGAGAAAUGGAGGGAGUGAUGGAGAAGUGGAGGAAAUGGAGGGAAAGUGGAAGGAGUAAUGGAGAAGUGGAGGGAAUGGUGAGAAAGUGGAGGGAAUGGUGGAGAAAGUGGUGGGAAUGGUGAGAAAGUGGAGGGAAUGGUGGAGAAAGUGGUAGAAAUGGAGGGUAUGGUAGGAGAGAGUGGAGGAGUGAAUUUAAGGAAGUGAUUAUUAUUAUUAUUUUUUUUUAACAAUAACCUUCAAAACUUUAAAAAUAUCUAAUAUAUCACUGGUUAACCAAAAAGAGUUUGUUCAUUUCCAAAAAUUACUUCAAAUAUCCCCAAAAUCUUAGGGUUUUCUAAUCGGGUUUAGGGUUUAGAAGGACAAUUUGGAAAUAGGAGGUAAAUUUGAAAAUUUUGAAUAGUUGUUAGGGUUAUAUAA